rnacentral:snRNA from 1 species
GUGCUUUUGCAGCACAUAUUCUCAAAUCGGAAUGAUAGAAAGAGGAUUAGCAUGGCCCUUGUGCAAGGANGACACUCAAAUUCAUGAAGUGUUUCAUAUUUUU